ensembl:lncRNA
CACAUAUCUGUUGCUUGCCUUCCAUUUCCCUCAGUGUUCGGCAAGAUAAAUUUACUUGAAGCAAAAUUGUGGAACAUAUUGAAGGGGUGUAGUUCACUGAAAUAUUAUUAGGGUGUGUAAAUAAUGUCAGAAAUUAAUUGUCAGGUAAACUAUCCAAUUUUUGCAAGAAAGUCAAUGCUUAAAAUUAGUUUGCCAUUGGUGUAAGACAGACUAAACUAAUUUUGUAAGAGUGAAUCUUGGAUUAAAUCUUAAUAUCCUAUGCAGUUGUGCUUCUUAAGGAAAUCUACCUUGAUGUUUAGAAAUUUAUACCGAAAAGCAAGACAAAUACUGAUUAAGAAAUGUAUUUUUUUUUCUUCUAGGUUUUCCCACUCAUCUUCUUCUGGGGCAGCAGACUGUAAGCCCCGACACGAAGUCCAGGCCCUCCAGUAUCCCAUCACCCCCUGCGACUAUCCAAGCUGUCACGGCAGGCUGGGCCACGGACGUCUGUGCCAGGGCGCGGCAGUACCAGAUCCGGCUCCUCCUCCUCCUCCAAGCUGCCCGUAUGUGAAGCUUCUUGCCGUUAGCCGGAAGGAUGCUUCAGUGAGGACUGCAGAUACCUUGAGACCAAACGAUAGGAGGACAGGACCAGAAGACAACACAAGCUGGACUCAAACUCACCACACCACGUCUCCGGCUGAGCUCUGUAUUAAUGCACCGAGUUGCUUCAACCCUUUACAACACCGCAAACAGCCUGCAGAGUCGUGGAGGUUGAACAGACAGACACCUCACUCUUAUGUCAAGCAUCAAUUAAAGCAAUUUUCGCCUUGGAAGUAAGUGUCUUCCUGCUCUGUUAGAGAUUAUUAACAUCUCCACUACAGCUGUAGUUUAUUUUUUUCCUUCUUAAAGGAACAGUUCCCUCAAAAGUGCAGUUUUAAAUGAAAUUUCAUGUUUCAUAUCAGUAUUUUAUACUAUAUUUAUAUUUUAAGUAUACAUAUAUUAAAAUGCUAAUAUACUGUAUAGAAAUAAAAAAUAUGAAAAAACAUUAGAAACA